ensembl:lncRNA
GGGUGCGUGGGACAGCGAGAGGAGAACACGUGCUUGAGAUAAAGAGAGAAAGGCUCGUGAAUUAUCAGAAAUCACUUUUCCUGUCUUUCCUUUUUUAUUUGACUGAAGCUGAGCACUUUUGGUUAAAAAAAAAAAAAAGGAAAAAAAAAAAAAACCAUUCCUGCCAUGGAGAACACCACCACAUUGUCCUGCAGAAACAUUUCUGAUGGUGAUGGUUACACUUACAAAGUGCCGUCUUAUAUACCAUCUGCUCUACUGCAGGACGAGGACUGUGAGCAAGAGUGGAAAAAUAAGGCAGGGGAGUUUUUGUCAGAUGGACAUCAUCAUGCAAAUAAAACUGAGCACCCACUGGUUCGUAAUGAAACCAUAAAAAACAUCAAAGUCUCUGAAUGCAUCGAGCUUCACCAUUCUGUGACCUGUCAUGGAUCGAGUCAAAAGUUUAUACACACUUACCAAGUGAUCAAUGACACCGCCCUGAGUUUUGAGCAGCAAUCCAAUAGCACCACCACCAACACCACCAUCAUCUCUGUUGUCGUUCCCCUUAUUCUGAUUGUAGUCCUGAUUGUAGGCCUGCACUACAUUUUUAAAAAAAAAAAAAAAAAAAAAAAAAAAGGUAAAUAUGCAUCACCCUUACAUAGGCAGCUAAAUGAGGGAAGUUUAAAUAUUUGAAUCUGCUGUGUGAUGACUGUAACAUUAGACGUUGCACUGUGAUGUAGGGUGAAAUCAUUUGUGAAGGAGGGGGUUUUAAUGUUAAAAUGCUUUUCCUGCACGUUCACCUGUCCUGUUAAACCGCUGUAUGGUCUUGGCCAUCGUGCUGCAGCUCAGUGUCCGGUUCUUGGCAAUCUUCUUACAGCCUAGGCCAUUUUUAUGUAGAGCAACAAUACUUUUUUCAGAUCCUCAGAGUUCUUUGCCAUGACGUGCCAUGUUGAACUUCCAGUGACCAGUAUGAGGGAGUGUGAGAGCAAUGACACCAAAUUUAGCACCCAUGCUCCCCGAUUCACACCUGAGACCUUGUAACACUAACAAGUCACAUGACACCGGGGAGGGAAAAUGGCUAAUUGGGCCCAAUUUGGACAUUUUCACUUAGGGGUGUACUCACUUUUGUUGCCAGUGGUUUAGACAUUAAUGGCUGUGUGUUGAGUUAUUUUGAGGGGACAGAAAAUUUACACUGUUACACAAGCUGUACACUCACUACUUUACAUUGUAGCAAAGUGUCAUUUCUUCACUGUUGUCACAUGAAAAGAUAUAAUCAAAUAUUUACAAAAAUGUGAGGGGUGUACUCACUUUUGUGUGAUACUGUAUGUGUGUGUGUGUGUGUGUGUGUGUGUGUGUGUGUGUAUGUAUGUAGUGUGUGUAUAUCUAAAUGUGUGCAAUAUUUGUAUAUAUUUACAGUGAACCUGUUUUUACUUAUUCUUAAUUAACUGUUUUUAAACUCUCUCAUUUUAACUGUAAUGUUUAAGUGUCCUUUGUUGCUCUCUGAGAGUUGCCACACUAUAUUUCAUCGUAUUGCAUACAACAACAAAGUGUUUUACACUUAGUGUAAGAGUUAAACCUUAACUACUGGAUGUAGAUAAACAGGACUGAUUGAAACAAAUAUGGCUAUAUAGAUGUUUUUGAUGGAUAAAUAAAUAGUUAGGGCUGUCUAUUGAUUAUUUUGAUAAUUGAUUAGUGCACCAUUGCCUUCUAUUAAAUAAUCUAGUAGUUGAUAUCGUAUAGCAUCUUAAAACCUACUUAUUAAAUGUUAAAUUGUUUUUUUACCUAAUAUUCUGACUAUUUAAUGAAAAAAAAAUGUUUUUUUUGUGUAUAUACAAUUUAAAAAUCCUGAAUUGUAUCUGUAGCAUUACUGUUUUGUUUGUGUGUUUACUGUAAGGGAGACAAAGAAGAGAAAUUUAAAAUGGCAAAUUCUUAAUCUCAAUUUAAAAUGCACUUUAUUAAAUAAUUUGACUAAUUUGUAAUGGCUAAGAGCCGUUGAUGAAAACAGAAUGUAGGAUUUAAUGUUGCAAUGUUCCAAAUACAAAGUUUGUACUUAUACUGAUACUUGUUAUUGUCAGAGGUGGUUCGAGUAUCAAAAAUAGUAACUCAAGUUAAAGUACCAUUACUUAGAAAAAUACGCCAAUCUGUCCAAGUAUGUUCUUGAUUAAGAGUAUGACUGUAUCUAGUUAAAAAUUAAGGUUGCUGUUACACAGGAAGCGUCAGAUAAAACGGAUUGAAUGUAAAUGUAGACGCAUCCGAUUUUAAACUCCUUUAUUGAGAUGCGUUUGAUCAAGCAAGUGUAACUCCGAGUGAAAGCUUCUGCGUGCAGUGACAUGCCUAUUGCAUGUAGCGUUAUCACAGAGCAGGGUGUCGCAUUCAAACUUUCGUCAAGUAGUUUAACGCUGGUUAACUUAACAUAAUUAUAUCUUCAGUUUUGCUGAGCUUUAUCACCACCUUCAUCGCCAGCACCAUUUGGCGAAUAUUUGAUUUAAAUGAAAUUUUCACUGAGGAUAUUUUUUUUUAUAAUUGAGUAUUAGUGCCAGCCCUAUAAAGAGUUAAACAAUUAGAACAGGUGUAUAGAAUUUAGAUUUUCUAUUAUUAAAAUAAUUGUAUUUCUCUACUGUGUUUUGUCCGUCAGUGGUGAAGUGCUGAGCAGCCAGAGCACUCCAAGAGCAUAUGAAGAUUAAGUUUCUCCAUCCAGUUUGAUUCUGCCUUUUCUAUAAUCGUACUUGUAUAUCUGCUUUUGUACUUUCACUAUAUUUUUCUUGCAUUUUGAACAUUUUUAAAAUGUUAAAAUACUAAAUAGGUAAACAGACCUUGGAAUUAUAGGAUUCUUACCACAAGUGCCAAAUGUUUUAAUCACGUCAAAGCACACAGAACAACUUUUAUACUUCACACAUUUUAUUAUACUAUGUAGCAGUAUUUUGGUGUAAAAUAUAUUGUAUACGUUGUUGCGUCCCAGUCUAGGUUGGGCCGCACAAAGUAACCAGCUCAGGAUUCAAGUUGAUUGAUCUUUUAAAGUGUAAGUGAGGGAGCCAGGAGUAACAACAAAACAGGGUUGUUCAAAAAGUUGUAGUGUAUUAUCUCAGACAAUAUAUACAUAUAACUAUACAAAUAACCUAAAUAGGCAUAUCUUCAGGGUGGACCAAAGCCAAAAUAAUUAACAAAAGGAUCCUAUGAUUUAGGUGUCUAGCUGACCUAAAAGGAAAGAAAAGAAAAUAUAAAUAUUCUACCCUAACUACCUAAGCAAGAAACAGAGACAAAAGGGACCAUCUCCCAAAAUAAAUGACAGCCACACCCCUACAGCCACUGAACCAAAAGAGCACGAGCACACACACACACACACACACACACACACAUGUGGAGAGAAUGCACAAACAAUAUAUAUAUAGGGAUAACCAAACUCUGAGUCAAAAACCAGGCAGAAGUCAAAAUACAGAGUUAGCCACAAGGGCAAGCACACAAAUCAAGCAAUCUCCUAACACCACUACCAAACACCUCCAACACCCCACCACGUCUCACUCUGUCUUCCUCUUUAAAAAUGGCCGCCAUUCAUUGAGGUCAUCAAGGAGACGGGAGCAAGACAGACUAUGGCAGGCUUGGAAAAAAGCGUGAAAAGUAAACCGGUAUUUUAUUUUAAAAAAAAUUAAAAAGCAGAAAAAAUAUGUAUUGCUGCAUCAUUAACACUGCCUAUAGGUCAUCAAGAAGAGACUGCUAUAAUUGAGUUAGUCAAGUUUAAUUCAGUAUUUAAAAAAAAAAAAUACAGCUACAAUAUUUUUAAAAAAUCAGGCUGCCCCUUCAUUUUAUUAAAAACAUUUUUAUAGUACUGUGAAUUAAAAUGUUGCACAAAACAAUGAAGACCAAAGAACUUAUUAAAUCCUAGAGUAAUAUAAAAUACAGUAUUAAUAAUCAAAGAUUGUUAAAUUUGUUUACUUAUUGUAUGUUAUUUAUCACUUCAUGCUGCCAUUUAAAGAAUGUGUUUGUUUUAAACAACUGGCAGUUUAAGCUGACAUGACCACUCUGAGUGUAACAUUAAAGCAGGGCUGUCAAACAUGGGACUGGACUGUCCAGUGGGAAAUGACUGGCCCUAUAGAAGUAUUUGUAAUCCAACCUAGCAUAUGAAUUUAGAAACCAUAAUAUUUUAUUGGACAUUUAUUUAUUUUUAAUGAAUUGCAGAGUGCACACAAUGUAGAUUUCCACUAAAUUGGUCAAUAACCAACUUUUUCUGUCCCAUCGAACCAAGUAUAAUCUAUUCUGUAAGAUGUCCCUGAUUUAAAGCAUUAAUUUGUACUCAUGCAAUACUUUUAUUUAUUUCUUUAUUUAUUUUCUCAUUUUUUCUUUAAUGCCAUCACUUUAUUAGGGAUCUAAAUGUCUAUCAAGCUUCUCUGUGACUGUACAAUGAAAUAUCUGACCUUGCUGAGUGACUUUCUUUUAUAUACGUAGCCUGAACUGGAGAACUCUAUAUCUUGGGUGAAUGUAGCUGUUGCUGUAGAAUGAGACAAUCUGAAUAAAAAACAUCUCUUUUAAUACCACAGCACUGUUUGAUUCUGAAUUGUGAUUGGCCACAAUGUGUUGAUUGAUUUUUCUUUAAGAGCAGCUCUGGCAGUAGUGCAGCUGCAAAAUGGUUCAUGUUGUCUAGUUUGGUCUUUUCUGGAAAAAUUGCAAUAUGAUGCCAUAUUGUUACACCCUUAAACACUGUAUAUUACUUAACGUACCUUGUGCUUCUUUUGCUGUUUACUGUUUCAGAAAGUCACUAUAAAGCACAUGUCAGAAUGAUAACAUGGUCGGUACUACUGAGUGUUCAAUACAGAAAACAAUGGGAAUUUAAUGACCACUUGUACAGUGCUGCUAGAAAGUUUGUGAACCCUUUACAAAUUUCUGUAUUUCUGCAUAACUUUUACCAGAAAUGUGAUCAGAUCUUCAUCUAAGACUUAAAACUUGAUAAAGAGAACUCAAUAAAUAAAUGUAAAAACUAUGAUGUUUGUGUCAUUUGUUUAACUGAGCAAAAAA